GGGUCUAUAGUUUAGUGGUAAAACAGCGGUCUCCAAAACCGCCGUCCUCCGUUCGAGUCGGAGUGGACCCG
rnacentral:tRNA from 2 species